GCAGGAGGAAGACAGCGUUCCUAUGACCCUCGCUCAGGAAGCUGUAAAAGAGAUUAUGCUGAGACAAGCAGCAAUAACAAAAAGGCAAGAAUUAAUUAUUGCUAACCAGAGGAAAAUGUGCUAUUUAGCCAAUCAAAACAAGCAACUGGAGGAGCAACAAAUGAGAGAAAUGCGUGAAUUGGAAAAAUUGCAGAAGCGCAUGAGCCAUUCAGUUUGAUUUUUUUUUUAUAAUAAAAAGUGUUAUUUUUUGGAAA